UGUAGCUUUCACUUCCCCAGAUCAACCAGCGAUCAGAAGUAAUUUCGUGAAUUCCAAGCAAUUCUUCUUGGUCACUACAGAAAAGGUCAAUUGGUUCAAAGCCGCACAUAUUUGUAAAUUCAAUGGCAUGGAAUUGGCCAGCAUUGAUUCGAUGGAAGAAAACAAUAUUAUCUCAAUGC